rnacentral:lncRNA from 1 species
UCUGAUGUUAUUAUGUCUGAUCCGCUUGUCAGCGUACAAAGUAAUGUGUGUGCUUAGUACAAAGUAAUAAGUGCAUUUGGAUGAACAGUAUGACUUUAUGCAUCAAUUCAGGUGUUUGAUUUGCUCCAUUUUUAUUUUCCGGAGCAACCCUUAUCUUGAGAAAAUCAAUACAUGGAUCCACUUUCCAUGCAUGGUUACUUUAAGAUUUGUGGCUUUGUGCUACUUCUUUUAACUCUUUCUAGAAUUUAUUUUGUUUCAAAGCUUUUCUUUCUUGAGGCAAUCUUGUUUCAAAGCUUUUUUCUUUUGCGACGAUAUCUUGUUUCAAAGCUUAACAUUGAGUUUUCCCUCUCGUUCGAAAGUGCAUCUUAAUGCUUCCUUAUGUAUCAUCGUCUACAUCAAACCUGAUCCAAAACAAGUGUAUUAACUUUUUGUUGGUACAUUCUAAAAAAAUAACCUUUUGUUGGUACACAAAGAAACAUGAUGAUGCACCUUAAAACAAGGGAGGGGAUCUGAACGAAACAUUUUAAAACAAGAUAAACUCUGACAACAAACAAAAUGGUAGCAAAAAUCUGAAAAUAACCAAUUUAAGAGAAGAUAUCUUCUUUUUCUGGAAAAAUAGAGCGAGAAUGUAACAUGGGCUUCGGCCGGCAGGAGGACUAUGGGCUGCCGGGGCACCAAAUAGGCCUCUCAGUUACUGUAAAUAC